rnacentral:sRNA from 1 species
AUAUAAAAAUAGUUUCUUAAAAAAAAGUCUAUAAAAUUAUCCUACGUUCUUCCAUACUCUGAAAUCUUUUGAUCACUAUCUCAUUUGUCACUUUAUCAAAUAAUUCCCUUUCAACAAAACAAACUAGACAAUCGUUUAGAAACUGAUCACCUAUACGGUUGCGCAAUGUAGUCUUCACAAUCUUCAUUGCAGAAAAGCAUCUUUCAACAGUAGCAGUGACUAUAAGUAAAGUCAAAACUAGCUUCAAAAGUCGAUAAACCAGAGGAUGCGAAAGAUAUUUCCUUGUCUCGAUCAUAACGCGUGCAAGAUCUCCUAGACUCUUCAAAUUAGCAAACAUUUCAUCUUCUCGAAUAUUGUCAAUGUAAAGACCAAGUUGAUGCUCGAGUGAUCUCUGAUCGACAUGAGUAAAAUCUUGUGGAUAAAACUCAGACAAUCUCAGAACUUUCAACUGAUCAAACUCAUGAAACGAAUCAAUACGGCUUAAAGAAGCAACACAACUAAGUAAUUCAGUGUUUACCUUAUCGAAACGAUCAUUAAACUCUUGAAUUUGCAUAUCUAAUACAGUGUAAAAACACUCCACUUGAUAAUGAUGGAAGUUGGUCAUGUUGCUUCUUUUUCUUGGCUUUUUUGGAUUAACAAAUUCUCCAUCCAUAAUAACCAACUCAAUGUCAUGCUUCUUACAAAAAGAA